AGAAAGAAAGAAAGAAAGAAAGAAAGAAAGAAAGAAAGAGAAAGACAUAGACCGGUGAUAGUUGGUAGAACAUACAUACAUACAUACAUACAUACAUACAUACAUACAUACAUAUACAGGCAGGUGAUAGUAGAUAGAUCUCGUAUAUACAUACUACAUGCAUACAUACAUACAUACAUACAUACAUAGGCAGGUGACAGAUGGAAAAGCAUAGGUAAAGCAGAAGGGGGUGUAACAAAGAGCUCCCUGUAUGUUUUGCAUGUUUACUACUCUCCACUACAAUAGCAAUACAACCUUCUGUUUGCCAUACUAACUUCUCUUAGAGCUGUGCAUAGACCACAUGUGCUGUGCUCUUUAGAAGCUCAGGUAACCCAGGGAGUGUCAACUGGAGGGAUUGUUUGAUCCCUCUGUGCUCUGGGUACUAAUGGCUGUUUCUGUAGCAUCCUCACGGUCACCGAUUACUGGUAAUAAGUCAACCAUAUUUAUUUCAUCUCUUAUUCUUCAACUCAAGAAAUGAAUUGACAAGUAAUUUAUGCAUAUUAUGUUGUACAUGUAUGAUGCUUUGAAGUAUGCAUGCUACAUUGAGCUAAAAAGGGUGAGCUAUUAUCUCACCUUCUGUGGUGAGGACAUUUACAAGCCAUUGCUAGGAUUCAUGCAGUACAUGCCCCACUGUUAGCUAUAGUCACCACAUUGGACAGUAGACCUCUUGAAGUUUUUUUCUAACUGAAAUCCUGUUUUCUUUUAUCAAUAUCUUGCUAACUCCCUCCUAUAUGGGGACUUUUCUCAGACGUGCCAGUGAUUUAAAUAAUGACAUAGGCACUUUUUAAUAUUCUAAAGCUUAGGCCUUUCAGUUACUCUAACCCUCCUAAUCCUGGCACUAUGUCCUAUCACGUGACCAUCUCUACCUGUCUGUUCUGCUCUCUGAUCCAAUGUUCAGCUCAUCUGGCUGAAUCUCCUGCCUCUGAAUCUUCUCCCAGCAUCCCUCUCUCUGCCCAAAAGAUCUCCCCUCCACUUCCUGCCCAGCUAUUGGCCAUCAGAUCUUUAUUACAACCAGUCAGAUACAACUCACCUUAGGCAGGUGAGGAAGAGUGAAUAUUUACAAACUAUGGGACCCAUGAUGGGCCAUAGAAAUAACAAUGCUAAGAUCCUGCCAGGCUUUAGCUCUCUGCCCCUACAGAAUUAACAAUUGACACUGCAGAGACACUCCUUCACACAGUGUUACCCUUUCUCCCUCCUGAGUUCUCUAGAGCAGUGAGAAUCUAGCUCUAUAAUGGCAAAGCCAUCCUUACUCAGUCAUCCUUGUAGGACCAGUAACAUACACCAAUGGGCACUUAGGUGAUGCCAUAGUCCUGGCUGCUGUACUCACUCCUGUGAUAAGCAUGGAACAGCUGCUUCUUUCACAUGAGUCAGCCAUCAUUGUUAGAACUUAGUGUCAUGCAGCAGAUCCAUUAGUGAUGCAGGCAGAGCUUUAAAAGUCUACGCUGGGCUCUGGGACUGAAGUCUUGCAAGUUGUGUAUUUCUGUUACUAUUCUUUUUUAUUUGAAACAGGGUUUCACUGUGUAGCUUUGACUGUCCUGGAACCUGCUCUGCACACCAGGCUGGCCUCGAUCUCAGAGAUCCUGAGUACUGGGAUUAAAUGUGUGUGCCAACAUGGCCCAGCUCUGUUACUAAUUUUAAAGGUUGAUUUGAAGAUAAGUUCAUUCUUCACGAAACACAUAAGAAAUUAGAACUUAAGAACUUGCUCCCAUAUGCACUGGCAUGAAGAAAUUGCAUGUUAUUUUUUUAAGAGCAAGUAAUGUUAGUAUGAACAUCUUAAGAGUAUAUAGUCAAUAACAUACAGUAAAAGCAGACACUUUCCAAGGGAUUUGAAUGGGCAGUUCCCUAGUUAAAAAGAGAGGAAAAAACCCAAAGAGAAGCGAGAGACGAUACAUUUUAGAUAUAACCAGCCCUUUAUCUGUACCUUUCAUAACCACAAACUUAAGUAAUGUUAGAUGGAAAAUGCUUUUUAGUUUAAAUUGUACUGAAUAUGUAAGAAGUUUUCAUGUCGAUGUUUUCCAGAUACUGUGGUUGAACAUCUAUUAUACAUACGUGUACACACAUACACACACACAUGCACAUACAUGCACACUUACAUGCAUACAAUUUACAUUGAAUUUAGGUUUUAUAGGUGAUCUGAAUUCUGGUGCAUACAGGAGAAAGUUAAGUAGGUUAUAUGCAAACAUUCUGUCAUUUUAUACAAGGAACUUGAGCUUGUGAGAACUUGAGUCUCUGGGGUGGUUGCUUUCUAAAGUCGUUUGCAGGAAGUCUGGGGCAAGAUUAUUUGACAUUCUUGUCAUUUUCUUCUAUUUCUACAACUGUUUUAUAUUCAAUAUUUUUAUAAGAAUCCCAUUAUCAUUACCUACAGAAGCCUUCAAUUCUUUGUUUUCAAACUCAAGUUUCAUUAUUUUCUGUUAUGUUUAAUCUAUGAACUCUCUGUGUGUGUGUGUGUGUGUGUGUGUGUGUGUGUGUGUGUGUGUAUUACCUGACUUUGCAGGAAGUACAGGAAUACAACUUCCAAAAAUUAUAGAAAUGACAGAUGGCUGAUUGCCUGGACAGUCCCCAGUAUUCUCUAUAGUGUUGGAGCAUCUCUCUUCAGCCUUCUGACCCAGAAUGUUUUACAGACCUUUUAUGAAGCAAGAAUUUUGAAGGACUUGCUUACUCUGUCUUGGUAGAGCUUGGCAGUUGACUUCCUGCAUUCGUUGUCCUUUCUGGACAGCAUUCUGUCUGCAGAUAAAGUUAGAGCAUUUUCUUUGUCCAGCAGCUAAUUUGCCACAUUAAAUUUAAUGCUUAUCAUCUUUUUGAAGUGGAAUGGGGAUAACUGUCAGGAACAGACCUGUCUCAUAGUCAAAAAAAUCAUAAAUUAAUAAAAUUAUAUUUAAAUGCUAUAUUCUGUAAGUCUCUGAGAUUUUUGAAGAACAAUUAUUUAUUUAUACUAUAUGUGAAUUGUCAAACAUAGUUUAUCCUUAGCUAUCUACUUUUUGAAUAACCUUGAAUACAUCUUAUUAUAAUUAUCUAAACUAGUAUCUAAUAUAACCAUGAGUUUGACUAUCUGACUAUUGAUUUUAUUUAACUAUCCCUAAUAGUUCAUAAUUUGUAUUAUUAUCAUCUAAUAUAUUGUAAUAACAAUUUUCAAAAGGACUAGAACUUUAUAUUGUAACUUUAAAAAUUAUAUGAGUAUGAUACCUCAAAUAAAUGUUAAACACAUAUAUUAUAUGUAUAAAAAUAAUUUAAAUUUGUAUAAAUAUACAAUAACCUAUACCAAUGUAUCAAAAAUAACUUUAUUUCUGUAUCAAUACACAAAAAUUCUGUACCAGUGUAACAAAAUAUGACCUUGAUUUUACAUCAAUAUAUAAAGAUUUUACCAAUGUAAGAUUAUGGGUAUAAAAUAUUUUUUGGUUUAAGAGUAGAUUCAAUAAUCCACCUCUACUUGUAUAAUGCCUUAUAAUAUUUCUAUAUCCUUUUUCUUUUCAAACUCCUACUCUUUAAGAAAGAAAGAAGGAUAGAGAAGAGGAAAGGAAAGAUAGAAAUCCCUGAGUCCAAGCUUCUUACUUAGUUUCCUCCCUGUCUAGGACUGUCAUUACUUCUAAAUAAUUCCUUAAAAUGACAAUAUAUGUAUAAUUUAUAAAAUGACCAACACCAUCCACCCCAAUUUAAGGGAUUUCGAUGAUGGUCUCUUUAUAGUUGCUUCCCAAUGAACUGGAAAGAAGAAUUCCUGUUUGGGGGCCCAAAAGGAAAUUGGAAAAAUGGUUCAGUCAAAAGAAAGCUAUUUGCUGUCCAGUCUCUAUGUGCUGAGAAAGCUCAGGACUUAAAUGAAUUCCUGAACAGUCUGAAAGGCUGGAUGAACCACAGUCAUCUGGAGUCAGCCACCCUUCCUGAGGCUGUUCUGGAAGCUGGCUCCAGAGGGAACAGAAGGCACUCUGAAGCUGGAUCACGCAUCUCAGUGUGCUGGAGGGUGACUCUGAUCAGAGCUGCAGUUUUGGUUGCUAUUUUUUUAUGAACUUAAAACUUUUAGAGGUAAUACGUGUUUCUAUAUUAAUACAGCAUGAAAUGUGCAGUGUACUCAGAUUAAUUAAAGAUGAAUUUUUGUUGCUAGUUUGAAAAAC
rnacentral:lncRNA from 1 species